ACGGGUGAGUAAUGCCUAGGAAUCUGCCUGGUAGUGGGGGAUAACGUUCGGAAACGGACGCUAAUACCGCAUACGUCCUACGGGAGAAAGCAGGGGACCUUCGGGCCUUGCGCUAUCAGAUGAGCCUAGGUCGGAUUAGCUAGUUGGUGAGGUAAUGGCUCACCAAGGCGACGAUCCGUAACUGGUCUGAGAGGAUGAUCAGUCACACUGGAACUGAGACACGGUCCAGACUCCUACGGGAGGCAGCAGUGGGGAAUAUUGGACAAUGGGCGAAAGCCUGAUCCAGCCAUGCCGCGUGUGUGAAGAAGGUCUUCGGAUUGUAAAGCACUUUAAGUUGGGAGGAAGGGCAUUAACCUAAUACGUUAGUGUUUUGACGUUACCGACAGAAUAAGCACCGGCUAACUCUGUGCCAGCAGCCGCGGUAAUACAGAGGGUGCAAGCGUUAAUCGGAAUUACUGGGCGUAAAGCGCGCGUAGGUGGUUUGUUAAGUUGGAUGUGAAAUCCCCGGGCUCAACCUGGGAACUGCAUUCAAAACUGACUGACUAGAGUAUGGUAGAGGGUGGUGGAAUUUCCUG
rnacentral:rRNA from 1 species